GGGUUAGUUAGGGUUAGAGUUAGGGUUAGAGUUAGAGUUAGGGUUAGUUAGGGUUAGAGUUAGGGUUACUAUUGAGCCACUAUAAACCAGUAAAGGCUUGGGGUUAGAGUUAGAGUUAGGUUUAAGGCCAGACUGGACUGUAGAGCCACUAUAAAUCAGUAAAGGGUUGGGGUUAGGUUUAAGGCCAGACUGGACUAUAGAGCCACUAUAAACCAGUAAAGGGUUGGGGUUAGGUUUAAGGCCAGACUGGACUAUAGAGCCACUAUAAACCAGUAAAGGGUUGGGGUUAGAGUUAGAGUUAGGUUUAAGGCCAGACUGGACUAUAGAGCCACUAUAAACCAGUAAAGGGUUGGGGUUAGGUUUAAGGCCAGACUGGACUAUAGAGCCACUAUAAACCAGUGAAACAUCCUGUCCUCUAACUGGGUGCCCUGCUGGCUCUGUGAAAGGUCCUAGUGUGGCUCUGAAUUCCUUCUCCACUCAUCCCUCUCAUCCCAUGCUGACUUCCUUUCUUUAGACUGCUUUGAUGUCCGAGUCUCACCAAUAGAACAUGCCUCAUUCUGUCUGUCUGUCUUUCUGACUGUCUGUCCGCCUGUGUUUGUCUGUCUGGAGAAUGCAGCCAUACAUAUCUCACUGCAGUUUCUUCAUAAUUCUACUACCUCUCGAUGUGAAAGUAUACAGUGAGUUGUAUGUUACAAUGAACUCUCACUCUGCAAGAAAUGCUUCAGUCUAGGUUCCAGUUAGAAGCUACAGUGUACUGUAUAUGUCAGUGGUUAGAGGAUUUGUUUAGUCCAAUGUGUUGGCGAUUUCAUUUAGGCUUUUCUGGACAUUCUAAUGUUCUGUUUUCUCUAUAUGUGGGAGCCAAUGAGAA
rnacentral:lncRNA from 1 species